GUCGGGAUAGCUCAGUUGGUANAGCAGAGGACUGAAAAUCCUCGUGUCAC
rnacentral:tRNA from 1 species